AGAGUUUGAUCAUGGCUCAGGAUGAACGCUAGCGGCAGGCUUAAUACAUGCAAGUCGUGGGGCAGCGCGGGUAGCAAUACCUGGCGGCGACCGGCAAACGGGUGCGGAACACGUACGCAACCUUCCUUUAAGCGGGGAAUAGCCCAGGGAAACUUGGAUUAAUACCCCAUAGCAUCAUUAAAUGGCAUCAUUUGAUGAUUAAAGCUCUGGCACUUAAAGAUGGGCGUGCGGCUGAUUAGGUAGUUGGCGGGGUAACGGCCCACCAAGCCGACGAUCAGUAACUGGUGUGAGAGCACGACCAGUCACACGGGCACUGAGACACGGGCCCGACUCCUACGGGAGGCAGCAGUAAGGAAUAUUGGUCAAUGGACGCAAGUCUGAACCAGCCAUGCCGCGUGGAGGAUGAAGGCCCUCUGGGUUGUAAACUUCUUUUAUAGGGGAAGAACUCUAUCUUUUCUAAGGUAGUUGACGGUACCCUGUGAAUAAGCACCGGCUAACUCCGUGCCAGCAGCCGCGGUAAUACGGAGGGUGCAAGCGUUAUCCGGAUUCACUGGGUUUAAAGGGUGCGUAGGUGGGCAGGUAAGUCAGUGGUGAAAUCUCUGGGCUUAACCCAGAAACUGCCGUUGAUACUAUCUGUCUUGAAUAUAGUGGAGGUGAGCGGAAUAUGUCAUGUAGCGGUGAAAUGCUUAGAUAUGACAUAGAACACCAAUUGCGAAAGGCAGCUUGCUACGCUAUUAUUGACACUGAGGCACGAAAGCGUGGGGAUCAAACAGGAUUAGAUACCCUGGUAGUCCACGCCCUAAACGAUGGAUACUCGACAUCAGCGAUACACAGUUGGUGUCUGAGCGAAAGCAUUAAGUAUCCCACCUGGGAAGUACGACCGCAAGGUUGAAACUCAAAGGAAUUGACGGGGUC
rnacentral:rRNA from 1 species